ACAAAAAAAAAAAAAAAUUACAAGUCAUGCCAAAAGGCAAAAACAAAACAACAGAAUCUAAAAAAAACUCAUAAACUUCCAAAAUUAGCACCAGAAGUGUUUUAGAUAUUAAAAUUAUCAGAGAGAAAAUUUAAAGUAAGUCUUAUUAAAAUGUCAAGGGAUCUAAUAGGAAAACUGGACAAAAUACAAGAACAAAUGGGUAAGGUGAGCAGAGUGAUGGAGACUCUAAAAUUCAAAAUGAAAUGCUAGAAAUAAAAACAAUGUAACAAUAUAAAAAAUGCAUUUUUGAUGGGCUCAUCAGUAGACCUGAAAGGAACAAGGAUGGAAUCCAUUAUCUUGAAGACAAGUCAAAAGAAACUUCACAAAUUAAAACAGAAAGAGAAAAAAAAAGAAUUUGAAAAAAAAAAAAAACAGAACAAAGUAUCCAAGAACUCUAAGAUAGUAUCAAAGGUUUACCAUAAACAGAAUAAAAUGCCAGAAGAAGAAUAAAGAGAAAAUUUAGUAGAAAAAAACAUUUAUACAUAAUAAUGACCAAGAAUUUUUCAAAAUUAUAGACAGAAGGCAAACCAAAGCUUAAGAAGCUCAAAGAAUACAGGGUAGGAUUUAAAAAAAAAAAAAAGUCACUUGGACAUAUCAUAUUUAAAUUACAAAAAAAAAGAGAGAGAGAGAGAGAGACAAAAUCAUGAAAGAAGCAAGGAGGAGAACCUUAUCUAUAGAGGAACAAGAAUAACAACUACUGUGAAUAAUAUCUCAUCAACCAUGCAAGCAAGAGAGUGCUGAAAGAAAAAAGAAAAACCACCAAGCCUAGAAUUAUAUAUCCAGUGAGAUCACUCUUCAAAACUGAAGAAAUCAAGAUUUUCUAAAACACAGACUGAAGGAAUUAACAGUCUUGUAUUGCAAGAUAUGUUAAAAGAAGUUCCUCAAGCAGAAGAAAAAUAACACAGAUCAGAAAGUGGGAACCACAUAAUGAAAUGAAGAGGGAAUAAAAGCCACCUGGAGCAAUCUGGAGCUGAUUACUUAGCCUGCUCCCUGACAAGGGCAGUGCAAUUCCGCCCUGGGGCAAAGACACCUGAGAAUCAGUGGAACCGGCCCCUCCCCCAGAAGACCAGCAACAACAUCAGCUAAGACUAAGUUUACCCAUUAUAAAGAAUUACAAAACUUCAGCACUAAGCUUUCCACUGAUGAAUUCUUGGAACCUACCUAAGAAAAAUGUAAUCUGUAUUUGGUCUCAGUGAAUAAAACAUCUUAAUAAAAUUAUUAUUAACUGAAAUGAAC